CCUACGGGAGGCAGCAGUGAGGAAUAUUGGUCAAUGGGCUUACGCCUGAACCAGCAAAGUCGCGUGAGGGAAGACUGCCCUCUGGGUUGUAAACCUCUUUUGUCAGGGAGCAAUUGGCGCUACGUGUAGCGUUAUCGAGAGUACCUGAAGAAAAAGCAUCGGCUAACUCCGUGCCAGCAGCCGCGGUAAUACGGAGGAUGCGAUCGUUAUCCGGAUUUAUUGGGUUUAAAGGGUGCGUAGGCGGAAUGCCAAGUCAGCGGGAAAAUCGCGGGGCUCAACCUCGCUCCGCCGUUGAAACUGGCGUUCUUGAGUGGGCGAGAAGUAUGCGGAAUGCGUGGUGUAGCGGUGAAAUGCGUAGAUAUCACGCAGAACACCGGUUGCGAAGGCAGCAUACCGGCGCCCAACUGACGCUGAAGCACGAAAGCGUGGGUAUCGAACAGGAUUAGAUACCCCAGUAGUC
rnacentral:rRNA from 1 species